AACGAACGCUGGCGGCAUGCCUAACACAUGCAAGUCGAACGAGACCUUCGGGUCUAGUGGCGCACGGGUGCGUAACGCGUGGGAAUCUGCCCUCUGGUACGGAAUAACUCAGGGAAACUUGAGCUAAUACCGUAUAAUGACUUCGGUCCAAAGAUUUAUCGCCUGAGGAUGAGCCCGCGUCGGAUUAGCUAGUUGGUAGGGUAAAGGCCUACCAAGGCGACGAUCCGUAGCUGGUCUGAGAGGAUGAUCAGCCACACUGGGACUGAGACACGGCCCAGACUCCUACGGGAGGCAGCAGUGGGGAAUAUUGGACAAUGGUGGAAACCCUGAUCCAGCAAUGCCGCGUGAGUGAUGAAGGCCUUAGGGUUGUAAAGCUCUUUUACCCGGGAUGAUAAUGACAGUACCGGGAGAAUAAGCCCCGGCUAACUCCGUGCCAGCAGCCGCGGUAAUACGGAGGGGGCUAGCGUUGUUCGGAAUUACUGGGCGUAAAGCGCACGUAGGCGGCUUU
rnacentral:rRNA from 1 species